CCUCUAGAUUGAAAAAUAAUACUAAUUAUAAUAUAAUUAAAUAUUAAAAUAAUUAAAAUUUAGCUCUGGGCCUCGCAAAUACUAAAGACCGGCCUUAACACAUUCCAUAGACUACUCUGUACUGGAAGAACUAAAUGAAACAAGGUAAACACUGAUCUCUCCUCUUCACCUGUACUACGAACGUUCACAUACUCCGACGUUUGUUAGAUCAAACCAAAACUUGAGGCCACCACUAUUUUCGCUUUCACCGCCACCAUCUCCCUAGAUCACACACCUCCGUACUUUCAAGCCCGUUGUCUGGAACAAAGACUACAUGUGAUCACCAAGGAAGCGGUCAUCACCAACACAACAUUUAUAUCACUUUAUCUACCUCACGCCCCAUAAAGUUUUUCUCGGUUAAGUUUCGCAUCAUCCGUAUCCUCCUCACUUUCAUCUCCUAUAAUUUGUAACUGUUACCUAUACAUUCAUGGUAACGGUACGCUCCGAUUGUACAUAACUGCACGUUGUUGUUUUUGUUGUUGUUGUCGUUAUUAUAAUAAUUAUUAUUGUUAUUAUUAUUAUUAUUAUCAUUAUCAUUAUCUCUAUUAUAAUUAUGGUUGUUAUUACAAUAUUAUCUAAUAUUGUUCCCACGUAAACCACAAGCGUCUACCGUAACUUAAUGCACUUGCAGUGAAACAAGUUAAAAAAGUUGCUUUACGGAUGGAACUACUUUUGUAUAGAAACCACCACGAAAUAUUUUGCCUAUUGCAUUCAAACAAACAGUCAGACCCGAGCUUAACACCAUUGCAUUAUCAAUCCCAUACGAUUCGAGUAUCUCGACCUAUGUAAAGAUAUGAAAAUUAAAUUUAGAAAAAAAUCUGGUGAACAUAUACAACAUAAUCGAAAAAAAAAAAAUUUAAAAAAAACCCAUAUUAUACUCGUAUGUUACUAAUUUAAUAUGUCCACUCAAAAAAAAAAAAAAAUAAUAAAAAAAAAACAUUAUUUUCAAUUGUUUUGUUCGUCCUUUUGUAAUAUUUAUAACGGAACAAUAGGUUAAAUAAUAUUAAUUAUAUCGAACACAUACCUACGAACAAUAUGAUAUUUGCAAUAUCAAUAAAUCUGAAAUGAUAUGUGACAAAAGUACAAGGUUUGACGUCACUAUCUAUACUUCUAGUUGUUUAUCCUUUUUUUUCAAUUAAAGAAAUAAAUAUACGAAUACACAAAUUUUUUGGAAAAUAAAUUUGAUAAAACUUAGACUCGGUUUCUCAGG